UGUGUGGUCCUAAAAUGUUCAACGUUGGUUUAUGAGUACAAAGUGGUUCUUCUUUGCAUCUUCUUUAAAUGUCGAUAGAUGUGUUUUCACUUCCACAAAUAUAAGUUAUGGUGACCAAUGAAGGGACUGAAGCUGUGAGUCUCUGUGUGAUGACCAGAUCUUUACUGAAGGAACACCAUAGGAUUUCUUUUAAGGGACUGCCUUGGUGAAGGACUUCCCAUUUCUAGAACUCCAUGUCCUCCCAAACCACAUCCAGAUGGCAAGAGCAGUUUCUGAAUUCCCCCAUAAUCUUCAUCAAACCAGUGUUGAUGUUUGUGAGUGAUUUGGCCCACAUGAGUAAAUACAGAGCUGUACACCAAAUCUCUGAAAGUUGCCUACUCCUUUUCUACUCCACUGUUGUCAUUUGUGAGUCGGCCCAGCUUUCCCUCCAGGAAAAGGAAAGAGCAAACUACUCUGGCACCUUUGCUGAGAAAAUACCAUGGAUACUAUGGUCAAUGAAAAAUUGGACACAACUGAAUAAUAACCUCUUAAUAGUCUAUAUUGAAGUUCACAUCUUUGAGCCAACUUAGUAACACUAUAUCUUAUGUUCAAAGACAUCAAUCUUACCUUCAGAGUGAAUAGAAUCUCCCUUCAGAUGCCUGGCUGAAUUUGAUGUCUACAUGGAUAUGGUCAACAGAAGAAACACCAUGGACAUGAUCCUUAAGGUGGCUGAUUCCCAGAACUACCACAGUCCAUCCUGCUCACAUCACAGAACAUGAGCUCUCUUCCCCAAGUAGAAUGAUUAGAAUGCUCCAAAUGCCAGACAAAGAAAAAGGCCAGAGAGCCCUGCCUUUCCAGCCAGCCAAUCAAGAAGCAGAAGACCGAAGCUGAUUUCUAGUUUAAUGUGAUUGUGCUACUGGCUUGUGAUGGGAUUGUACGGAUUUUGUUUUCUCAAAGUGUUGUGUAUAAAAUUUCACUACUUUAAAGAAAUAAUAUAUGAUAAUUGAAAGUAUUUCAAAAAUGAAUCUUCUUUGUUCCCCCUAAUAGUAGAAUGUAAAUCUCACCUUGAAUUAUAAAGUGAACCAUGAAUUCCAUUUCUUCUAAUGUGUGGCCUUGAGAAACUGUAAUGCUGUUAGGAUUGGUUCAAAACCAUUCCCUCUUUCCCAGGCUCAUCUGUCUUAUAAGAAUUGAAUAGAUAUUGCUGAAUGUAUAUUUGCAUGGGAUUUAUUUUUGCUCUUAUGUUUGCAAAAUUCCAAUAAAUACUUAAGAGCCUAAAAGUACAGCAGGCAUACCACCAGGUAUUUCACCUUGUCUAUGAUUAUUUUAAAUGAAUUAUCUGUUCCUAUCUCUUCUUGCAGGGCUUUGCU